rnacentral:rRNA from 1 species
AACGAACGCUAGCGGGAUGCCUCAAACAUGCAAGUCGUACGAGAAAGCACCUUCGGGUGUGAGUACAGUGGCGCACGGGUGCGUAACACGUAGCUAACGUACCCCUUCGCUGGGGAUAACUCCGGGAAACCGGAGCUAAUACCGAAUGAACUGGCAGAGUCUGCGGACUUUGUCGGUAAAGCCUUUGGGCGCGAAGGGAGCGGGCUGCGGCUCAUUAGCUUGAUGGUGGGGUAACGGCCUACCAUGGCGACGAUGAGUAGCUGGUCUGAGAGGAUGAUCAGCCACACUGGAACUGAAACACGGUCCAGACUCCCACGGGAGGCAGCAGUUGGGAAUAUUGGACAAUGGGGGGAACCCUGAUCCAGCAAUCCCGCGUGAGUGACGAAGGCCCUCGGGUCGUAAAGCUCUUUCAGCAGGGAAGAAGGGAAACUUGACGGUACCUGCAGAAGAAGCACCGGCUAACUACGUGCCAGCAGCCGCCGUAACAC